rnacentral:rRNA from 1 species
AACGAACGCUGGCGGCAUGCCUAACACAUGCAAGUCGAACGAGAUCUUCGGGUCUAGUGGCGCACGGGUGCGUAACGCGUGGGAAUCUGCCCUUGGGUUCGGAAUAACUUCGGGAAACUGAAGCUAAUACCGGAUGAUGACGUAAGUCCAAAGAUUUAUCGCCCAAGGAUGAGCCCGCGUAGGAUUAGCUAGUUGGUGAGGUAAAGGCUCACCAAGGCGACGAUCCUUAGCUGGUCUGAGAGGAUGAUCAGCCACACUGGGACUGAGACACGGCCCAGACUCCUACGGGAGGCAGCAGUGGGGAAUAUUGGGACAAUGGGCGAAAGCCUGAUCCAGCAAUGCCGCGUGAGUGAUGAAGGCCUUAGGGUUGUAAAGCNCUUUUUGCCCGGGAUGAUAAUGACAGUACCGGGAGAAUAAGCUCCGGCUAACUCCGUGCCAGCAGCCGCGGUAAUGUGACUACUG